GACGAACGCUGGCGGCGUGCUUAACACAUGCAAGUCGAACGGUAAGGCCCUUCGGGGUACACGAGUGGCGAACGGGUGAGUAACACGUGGGUGAUCUGCCCUGCACUUUGGGAUAAGCCUGGGAAACUGGGUCUAAUACCGGAUAGGACCACGGCCUGCAUGGGUUGUGGUGGAAAGCUUUUGCGGUGUGGGAUGGGCCCGCGGCCUAUCAGCUUGUUGGUGGGGUGAUGGCCUACCAAGGCGACGACGGGUAGCCGGCCUGAGAGGGUGUCCAGCCACACUGGGACUGAGAGACGGCCCAGACUCCUACGGGAGGCAGCAGUGGGGAAUAUUGCACAAUGGGCGCAAGCCUGUUGCAGCGACGCCGCGUGGGGGAUGACGGCCUUCGGGUUGUAAACCUCUUUCACCAGGGACGAAGCGCAAGUGACGGUACCUGGAGAAGAAGCACCGGCCAACUACGUGCCAGCCGCCGCGGUAA
rnacentral:rRNA from 1 species